GAUGAACGCUGGCGGCGUGCCUAAUACAUGCAAGUCGAGCGAACAGACGAGGAGCUUGCUCCUCUGACGUUAGCGGCGGACGGGUGAGUAACACGUGGAUAACCUACCUAUAAGACUGGGAUAACUUCGGGAAACCGGAGCUAAUACCGGAUAAUAUAUUGAACCGCAUGGUUCAAUAGUGAAAGACGGUUUUGCUGUCACUUGUAGAUGGAUCCGCGCCGCAUUAGCUAGUUGGUAAGGUAACGGCUUACCAAGGCAACGAUGCGUGGCCGACCUGAGAGGGUGAUCGGCCACACUGGAACUGAGACACGGUCCAGACUCCUACGGGAGGCAGCAGUAGGGAAUCUUCCGCAAUGGGCGAAAGCCUGACGGAGCAACGCCGCGUGAGUGAUGAAGGUCUUCGGAUCGUAAAACUCUGUUAUUAGGGAAGAACAAAUGUGUAAGUAACUAUGCACGUCUUGACGGUACCUAAUCAGAAAGCCACGGCUAACUACGU
rnacentral:rRNA from 1 species